UCUCCGUUGGUGAACCAGCGGAGGGAUCAUUAAAGAGUUCUAUAACUCCCAAACCCUUAUGAACAUACCUUACGUUGCCUCGGGAGGACGUGCCUACCCCGUAGCGCCCUACCCUGUAAGACCUACCCGGUAGCCGCGGGUAAGCCUGCCGGCGGCCCACGAAACUCUGUUUACUAUUGAAUUCUUAACAUGUAUAUCAAUAAGUUAAAACUUUCAACAACGGAUCUCUUGGUUCUG
rnacentral:misc_RNA from 1 species